GUAAUGAUAACUUUAAUGUACCCAUAAAGACAGUACUUAUGCUGGGAAUAAAAUAAUCAUAGUAUGUAAUUAAAACUUUGUUACCCAAAGGUGAAGAUUUCUUUUAGAAUGUGACUAGGAAUUAUUGAAUUUAUUUUACAGAUAGAAGAAUGUGAGGAAAAUGUGUACUGACCCCCAGUAAGCCACUGUAAGUCACCAAGAGCUGGAAAAGAACAAAAGCCCACCAAUUCUGUGGGCAUCCUGUUUUGUGGGUUAUGUUUUUCGCCUAAUCUGAGAGAAAUUCAGUUCAUGGUGAGCAGGCAUUCAUAAUCCCUGAUUUGCAGCAUAGGAAGGGCACUAGGAGCAAAUUCUUCUCAAUGAAUAGAGAGGGAUGAGGAAGUAAAUACAUUCACACAUUUAGCAUUAGACACUCCAAUGCCCAGGCUAGGGACCUGCACUCUUUCUGGAGUUAACUGACCCUUGUGCUCCCAAUGUACAGAGCCUGCAGAGCUACUUCCCUAAAUUAGUCUCCCAAGUCAGGUAGCAAAAGCUGUAAGGAAGAGCAUCUUCCAAUUAAUGUACACAAUUUAAUUUUAAUUCUUACAUUGCUUCUGUAUUCAGGCUAAAUAUUAAUUUAAGCUGAAGAAUGUUUUGAUGUGUAAAUAAACUGGUGUUACAGACACUCCUUCUCUCUUCAGCAAGGCUAUGACAGGCUGGUGUGGCUUCCAUUGGCAUCUCCUCACUUUUUCAUGUUAAUAAUCUGUGAAGUUCAAACACUAUACAGAAAAGGGAUCAGCCUCUUUUUGCAGUAGCUUUGAACUUUCUUUAUUCAAAAGGGCAACUAGAACUAUAAUUAGGUACAGCUAGCUGUCAUUAUUUAGCUCAUUCAUUAUUUAUAUCUUCCUCCCACAGUGCCUGUGAACCUCACAUCUUGUGUUGUCAGAGAUAGGAGUCUGAAUGUUGCUUUCAAAAGCUCCAAGUAACACAGUACUCCCUGUGGUAUGGCCCUGGAUUUGUAAUCUGGGCUUCAGGGUGCUGACCUAGUGCAACCAAUGAUGUUACAGCCUGUAGCAUCCCAUGCUCAGAAUUUGCUGAGGCAAUCUCUCUCCACCUUUCAGGCAAGCAAUCAGAGAUGAACCCUCCAGCAGACAGCUACUCCCUGCAUGUACUCUAAUCCUUGUCAAUCCCUCACUGAGAUCUCUCUCCACCUCCUGCUGGUAUGCAGAUUAAUCUUUCUGGGAUGCCUUCUUCUCCAAAUCCUUCUCUGUGAAGGACUAGCAGAUGGAAAACCAAGAACUUGAGAACAGCCUGGUGCUGUCAUACAGAGAAUGCUCUUUCCAUCUUGGACGCUGUCCUUGUGCAGUGACAAGAGAUCACCUGGCUUCAAACUGCCAGCUCAGGUUUGGCAUCAGUUCAACCACUUGGGCUACAGAAGGGUGAGUCAUGAACAAAAACCAAGUGCAUGGGAUUUCCUGGGCAGGCCCUUGUGCAGGUCUGGUUGAAGUGGGUUCUGUGGAAAAUCUAUUACAAUAUGCAUUGUCCAACUGUUUCAUCUUUGCCCUGUGCUGCCCACUAGGAAGAAAUUUCCUGUGUGUAUGAAUAUUUAAUACAACUUUUAAAUUCUUUGUUAAAGUUCCUCUUUGCUCUGAUGACAACACUUAAGACUGCUGGAACUGAUAGCAGACACACUGGUGGGUACUGAUGUGUCAUUUUCUUGCACUUGCCCAUCUGUCCUCUCCUGUUUAAUGCUUUGAUUUAACCUCCUGGAGGCAACGUAGAACUUAAGAGAGGCUUUACUCAGAGGAACUGUUCCAAUGACCAAACUAGUUCUAAUGUAAAAAAGCUAUAUUGGAAAUUACUGUAAUGACUUGAGUGGAAGAGUGAUGUAAAGGAAAGGAGAACCAAAUCCCAGUUUUGGCAGAUGCAUUCUUCUCUCUCGCAGUUUCUCCUCCAUUUGUGGUGUGGAUGAUUCUAAACUGCCAAAUGUAAUAUUUAUUAUCUCAAAAUCUGCUCAAAUCAGUAGAUGUUCACUGCUUGGAAUGCUGUCUUUCCUAUUUUGCACAAUCUAACUGUAAUUGGUGUUAAGUUAUUCUUAUUUAUUAUGGAAAUACAAAAUGUGUUACUGUGCUCUUAAUCUGCAUAGACUGAAACCAUCUGCUGUGGUUCACAGUUGAAGAACAGAAGAUUAUAAAUUCCCUCUAGUAUUUGUAUCCAGCCCUCAUUAAACAAGUAAUCAUUACUGCUACCAAGUUGUAAGUCAGAGAAGUGCACAAUCAUCAUCUUAACAUUUAAGCAUAUGAAUGACCAAUUCUUUUUUGUAGAAAACCCAAUAUUUACAUGCACAUUUACCUUUUUACUGACAGGAGAAGGCAGCUUAAAGUGGCCCAGGUAGAGUAGGAGUAGAGGGUGUUCUCAAAUGAGUCAGUGAUUAGCUCCAUGCUGAGUGAAAGGUGAUUUGACAAAAAAAAAAAAGAAAAAGGAAAGUCAUGAUGUAUUCAGUUGCAGGAUGACCUAGUUUACCUAUAGAAUGUCAGGAAGCAAGACUCAGUAGGGAUAACUUUGCAGUGAGAAGACCUUUUUGAGAAAUAUAUUUUGUUUGUGUUGUACCCAAAUAUGCUACAGGUCUGCUUGAGUUAAAGCAGAAACAUGAGGCGUCCUGCUUGCCUUGUACCCAGACAUAUCACGAGACUGUUUGACUUAGGAAGUGAAAUAUCGUGUAACGCCUGUUUGCUCAGCAUAGUUAUACAAAAAUAGUAGAGCUGAGGUAAUCGUACCCAGACUGCAAAGACCUGAAUCAGACAGUCAGCAUGCAGUCUGCAAAACACCCACCUGGAGAGGCUGGGCUGGACCUGCACACAGAAGGGUGUAAAAUCUGUCUGGCAGACAGAACAGACUGACUCUGACCUAGAAAAAGAGGAAGAAAACCUUUGGACCAGACUGGUCUUGAUCUACAGGAAAGCUGUGUCUAAAUGGAAGUGAUACACAGUGGAGAUUGGGGAAGGGAGAGUAUGCCCCCUUUAGUUCUGGCUUCCCAUGGAGAAGUUGGAGAGCUGUCAAACUCAGCCACCAUUGCCUUGGAGGCUAAGAAUUGUCAAAUGAUAUAACCAUCAGAAACCACAAUGCAGCAGCAGUGUCACAGUAUUGUAGAUCUAAGGCUUCAUGUUUAGGUCUGUAUGUUUAAACAUUGCUUGAUUUUUAUUUGUUGACAGGGGGUUUGCCUAAAAGCUGAGCAUAAACAGAUGCCUUCUUGAAGUAUUGACUGACUCACCCUCUCAGAUCUCUUCCAUUACAGUGGUCCUUGGAGCUCAGAUGCAAAGUCAGAAAAAAGCAGAUUCUGGUACCAACACCGGUUUACCAGGCCUUGCAGGAUCUGAGAAGAAACUCCUGCCAGGGGAUGUAGUACCACACAGAAGCUGAGGACAGGAACAGGGUAUCUGUGAGUCCAGUGACCAGUCUCUUGUGCAAAACAUAUUUUGGAUGAUGCUGCUGCACUCUUUCUGGAACUGUUUACUCAAUGUAUUUGUUGUAUUUGCAGAACAUUUUACAAACAAGGUAGGUCAAAUUUUUUCCUUGUUGACAUAAUUCAACAGACUACACAUAGGUUAGCUGGAAGUAAUGUGGUCCAGUUAGUUUUGUUUACAGAUUUAUUCAAUAUUAAUUUUAAACUCUAAGUUUACACCUAGCUUUCUGUCUGACCUUAGGAUGGGAAAGUGCCAAGGCCCAUUUUUCACUUGUUAAAAAUUACACCUGUGAAUAAAUGUAAGAAACUUUCAGGCCUUUAUCAUUAGAUUUUAAUUGUAUUUUCUUUAAAAAAAAACCAAACAACUUUCAACCAUUGGUCUUUAAACUGUUUUCCAAAGAAAAGUUCUUUUUUCUAUCCAUUUAAGGGAGCAGGUUCACUCAUAAUUACCCUGGCCUGACUUCUAGAGGAAGCAAUAUACUAAGAUCUAAGAUGUCAAAAGGAGGAACCACAGAGCUUCUUGGUAGAUUUAGUCUAGAGUCAGUUCAAAGAGGCUGAACCUUUUGCUGACUUUAAAUAUACAACAUUUAUUUUCUAUCACAGAAAAAAAUUUAGAAAAAGGAGGUGAUACAAGGCAGUGUUGUGACCCUGUGAAUGCCUCAGAGAGUUUUCAACAGCCUAAGUUGACAGGCAGAGCUCCUCAGGCACAGACACCCUCAGAACUGGGUAGGUGUAAAACUAUCUUCACAUCUAAAGAUCUAGUAAGAUGACUCAAGCAUGGCACAGAAUCUCACCUCAGUGCUUUAUAUCACUGUACUUCCCAUAUGUCAUUAUGAAUAUAACACUUCUCCCUCAGUCUGGAAAGGCCUGAAAUAAUGAGCUUUAUCCUCACAGCAUCUUUAUGCCUGGAUAAAUAUUAUGCUAGUUUGUUUCUGAAGAUCAUAGCCUUUGUAGCCAAGCCUUAUAGAUGCUGUAAAGACCUGACUUCAGAGAAGAUAUAAAAAUAAUUGUGACUCCUUUUAUCAUGUAUGAUGCAAAUAGCAUACCUAAGUCGGUUUGGUUAGGCAGCCCUCUCAUCUGAUUUAAAACUGUCAAACUGCUCUCCUUGUGUCUCACACAUACUUACAUCCAGAAAUAUUCUUUUUGUUCAAAGUAAACGGAAAUAGACCCCUUUUCAAACAACGUGUACUUCAAUGUGGAACAUAUUGCCAUGCAGAGAAUCCAAAGGCAGAUUUUAUGCAUGUUGAGAAGAUGGAAAUGGAACAAAUCCAUUAUUUGUACCCCCACUAAAUAAAAAAAAAAGCCACCAAAACUAUGAAGCACAAACAUCACCUCUGUGUGAGUGCCUGAGCUCCAAGCUGCUAGGAAUGGUGAGGAUUUGUCAUCAGUAUUUGGUUGCUCCAUUAAAAUGUGACAUACUGCUGGCCACUGCUGGACUGGAUGGGUCUUCAAUGUGACCUCCUGCGGCCAAUUCCAUUUUCACACACUAUGUUUUUAACAUACAAGCGGACAACAAAGGCCUGUGCUGAUACUGUGUUUUAGAAGGCAAAAUCAUAAACAGUAAGUCCCUGUGAGGGUUCUUUCAGAUAUUCAGUUCACUUCAAGUAAUUACACUUCACAAAAAAACUGAGAGAUUUUUUAAAGGAAGUUUUUUUUUUUAUAGAUUAGCGUUUGUUAAAAGAAUAGGUUUGAGUCGUGAAGAAUGCAUCUAGUCUUGAAAGGCUGGCAUUUGUGAGGCUGCACUGUUACAUACUAAGAGAUGCUAAAUUUGCCUUUCUCCAUUUCAUCAUGGUGAGCACUGAAUUCAACUAGGUUUGGUCAACAAUUGCAUUAGAGCUUCCUCGUGAAGGUUUGAGUGGUUGCUUUAUUCUGACUUCUUCAUGACUGCUUCUUCAUGACUUCUGCUUAUUCAUGACUUGUUAUCAUGAAACAAAUGGGUGAAUUAAAGGUCAGGAUUUGUUAUGAGAGAUGGACAGUCGUGAGCAAAGCGCUGACUGCUGUUGGAGCAGUGCCUUGUUCUGCCGCAGCUGCUGGCUCCAUCCUGUGAUCCAGUUGCACCAAGAGGAGUACAGGGCUGCACUUGCCAGUUGUAAAGGCCAAGCUGAUGGAAAACAUCCAGCUGUGGUUCAGAACACUGCGAGGAGUGCUGCAGCUCCGCCGGCAGCACCUGGUGGGCUUAGGGAGGACGCGGAGCCCGGUGCGCAGACGGAGCUCGCUUCAAGCCUGGUUAUUGAGUGCCACCCAGUGGGGGCUGCCUUAUCCGGGAAUGGAGCUGGGAAUACACGGAUGCCUACAGGGUCAAAGCACACUGGGCUGGUAGAGCUUUUUUUUGUUGUUGUUGGGUUUUUUGUUGUUGUUUUUGGAGGGGGGUUGCUAGUUAAAAAAAAACCCGAGGACUACUUAUUUUCAUAUGAAAUAUAUCAAUUAGAGUGUCUGCUAGCUGUUACUGUGCAAAGAUUCUGUUUGCAUUCAUCUGUGAUUUUGUGCAGUGAUUUCUAUUUUUGGGUUCAUUAUGGCCUUGUAAGCAGCCUUUUUAAGCUAUGGGUAAUAAAGUAUUUCCACUUUAACCAUGGUAGCAUAAAGUGGCCACACAUGUGUUAGAGGUAUUGUUUGUAUAUUUUAAAUAAAUAAAGCAUAUUGGAGCAGA